rnacentral:tRNA from 1 species
GGUAGCUCAGUGGUAGAGUACUUGCCUAGAAUGCAUGAGGCCCUGGGUUCGAUUCCUCAGUACCA